rnacentral:rRNA from 1 species
AUUGAACGCUGGCGGCAGGCCUAACACAUGCAAGUCGAACGAGUGGCGGACGGGUGAGUAAUGUCUGGGAAACUGCCUGAUGGAGGGGGAUAACUACUGGAAACGGUAGCUAAUACCGCAUACCAUCAGAUGUGCCCAGAUGGGAUUAGCUUGUUGGUGGGGUAACGGCUCACCAAGGCGACGAUCCCUAGCUGGUCUGAGAGGAUGACCAGGCACACUGGAACUUAGACACGGUCCAGACACCUAUGGGAGGAAGCAGUGGGGAAUAUUGCACAAAGGGCGAAAGCCUGAUGCAGCCAUGCCGCCUGUAUUAAGAAGGCCUUCGGGUUGUAAAGUACUUUCGGCUGGGAGGCUUUACCCGAAGAAGAAGCACCGGCUAACUCCGUGCCAGCAGCCGCGGUAAUUC